GUGGGGAAUCUUAGACAAUGGGGGAAACCCUGAUCUAGCCAUGCCGCGUGAGCGAUGAAGGCCUUAGGGUUGUAAAGCUCUUUCAGAUGGGAAGAUAAUGACGGUACCAUCAGAAGAAGCCCCGGCUAACUCCGUGCCAGCAGCCGCGGUAAUACGGAGGGGGCUAGCGUUGUUCGGAAUUACUGGGCGUAAAGCGCACGUAGGCGGCCCAGAAAGUCAGAGGUGAAAUCCCAGGGCUCAACCUUGGAACUGCCUUUGAAACUCCUGGUCUUGAGGUCGAGAGAGGUGAGUGGAAUUCCGAGUGUAGAGGUGAAAUUCGUAGAUAUUCGGAGGAACACCAGUGGCGAAGGCGGCUCACUGGCUCGAUACUGACGCUGAGGUGCGAAAGCGUGGGGAGCAAACAGGAUUAGAAACCCCAGUAGUCC
rnacentral:rRNA from 1 species